ACCUAAAAAAGUGCAGGUUUUAUUAAAAUUAAUAUAUUUCGCAGGAUUUUUUAUUUUUUAAUAAGAUUUAUCUGGGCGUUUGGUACGAAACGGGUUUGGUGAGCUCCCAACUCUGGCCCGUCUUACCAGGAAAUUCGAUAGAAUAAUCGAUGAAUGUUAUUAAUUUGAUUAAUCUUGCCAUUUGCAGUAGUAGAUAUUGCGUGUUUUGGAUAAGUCACUCACACUAUGAGGUCUUAUGAUUUCGUUGAAGAUGUAAAGGUAGAUUGAACGUCUCUUCGAAAUGGCUGAUUUCAUUGCUUAUUAAGCGCUUUCAUUUGUUUCCUUCCACCGGGUAUUUGAUUAAAUGAUUUUGUUAAGCCGUUGUCUACUCAAAGCAUUAUGAAACAUAAUAGGCAAAUAUCUCGAAGUCACGGUGCUCAAUUCCUUCAUUAUUGAUCGCAUUAACUUCGCUGAUUCCUCCUAGAAGAGUGUCUUCCAAUCACAAUAACAAUAUAAUGUUUGCGUUGUAUAUCUUGCCGUUGAAAACAAAUUACAUAUCUUAAUGAAAUGACUAAUUCCAUUGGAUCACAAAUUUUAA